rnacentral:lncRNA from 1 species
GAACCACAUGAUUCACUCCAUGAAACUUCUGGAUCUCCUUUAUAUGCUAAAUACAUCACCUCCGUCGAUACAGCUCCAGCAGCCAGUAUUGCAUAUGUCAAUAACUACAAAACACAAGUGAAAGCAGAGCAGGUUCUGUAAGUUCUUAUUCCAUUUUUCUCGAACUAAUAUAAUUCAUAUAACCAAAUGAUUCAAAAUGUAUGCAUAGAUUGAUAUCACAAAAGCGGAACCUGAUCAAGGAGGAAGAAGGUCCAGGCUCUAGACAUCGUUAUGGGACGAGGUACGACUGCUACAAUUGCUGAUAAAAGUGAAUAACCUGCACAAAUUCCAUUUGCAUGUACUAAAUACCUGCAGUAGAUUCAACAAUUAGGUUAAUUUUCCCCCAAAAUUCACAAAUUUCUUCAAUAAGUUGACAACUAAAACUCAAUUUCCACAAUUUUGAAAUCAAUAACAAGAGAAUUUAAGCUCUAUGCAUUCACAGUCUAAAAUAUAGUUACAUAAUCACAUCACUAGUAAAGUAAUUUCAAGUAAAAUCAUGAUGAUAAAGUUUAGUAAUAUUCCCAAUUCACCCACUAUUACAAGGAGAAUCAUUGUUAGAUCCUUUUUCUCCUUAUUAUAAUAUGCUUAAGCUCUCUCGAUUAUCACACUAUUUUAUUUCCCGUAUAAAGUCAAGAAUCUCUCGAAAAUAGCUUAUCUGUCUCUAUGAAAUAGUAGUAAAGUCGAUGUGUAUAUCGAUAUCUUCAGACCUGGAUUAUAGAAUUUCACUGGAUAUAAACUCAAAGUGUAGUUCCGUCUAAUUUAGGGCUGGCCAAUGUCCAACAACACUAGCCCACAUGUAAUAUUAAUGUCAUAAAUAAAUACUAUUUCAACCAUAAACGAUGCCAACCAAGAAUCGACAGAAGAGGAAGACGGAAAAAAAAGAGAGGAUAAAUUACCUAAAGGUUCCAAGAUCAGAGUAAGUAAUGGAACCAUAAUCAUUAGUUUGUUGAUUUUUGAGCAUAAUAACAAGAGCCACAACACAAAGCCCCAUAGGUAACAAACGCAGCAUAGUCUCAGCUGUUCUCAUACUGCUACUACUUUCAUUGUCAUCUUCUAAUUCUCUCUUUUGUAGUGGACUACUUCCAGCCAUAUUUGUACUACUAGUUUUCAUUAUGUAAUAUUGUACUCUCUUUUGGCUUUUUGGCUUUUUUUUUUUCCUUUCUAAAAAAUGAUUUUAUUGUAAGAGAAGAAAUUGGGUGAAUGAUAGGUAGCACUACUAGUACUUAUGAAUAAUGCAACUUAGCUAAUUAAAGGGUGUUGGGGUAGUUGGAAGCAUUAAAUUGGAUCAAUAAAGAUUGCCACACUUUUCCAUGCAAGCCAAAAAAUAAAGGCCAUCAAAGUGAUGUAUGAUAACUAUCAUCCUUCCCUCUUUUCUUUCGUAUUCCGUAUUCAUAUCAAAAUCUGAUUAAAUUUAGUUUCGUCUCUAAUAAAUACUUCUGAAACUUGACUCGAACCUUGUGAAUAAGAAUGAAAGAAUAUUUACCACUCCACCCGUCUCUCUUUCUUCAUUUAGUGUGUGUCCCCUACACGAAAUUCUUAAAGGAAUAGAUUCAAGAACCAAGUUUUUGCCACAUGUACAAGUGUGAGCACUCCAUGAAAUAAGAAAAGGGUCCCCAAAUAAUGAUCGUGAUGCAUCAUGCAAGAGAAAUUAUUUGCGCAAGAGAGGGGAACUCACAAGGUUAUAAUUUUACCAAUAAAAAUGAUAACUUCCAAUUUUGUUUAUACCAAAAUGAUAAAACUAUUACACUCAUUUUAUUUAAAUAUUGGUAGUGUUUGUUUGGAUAUUUCUUUUUUCUUUUUACUAUUAUAACGAAAUGUUAUAUCAUAACAAAAUUGAAUAAACAUGACGAAAUUUGACCAGACUCAAAUUCUGUGCUACAAGAACGGCAAAUUGAAUUAGGUCGGCAAAAUCUUUUACCUAGGUCGAUCACAAAGUAUCAUUCGAUAGAAAAUUAUAUUAGUUAUAUAUGAUUAAAAUUGUAAUUAUAUCCAUGCCUCUUAACGGGGAAUAUAUAUAGAUGUGUUGAAUUUUCAUCAGUUCUUUA